GGAAUUUAAAAUACGGAAUAAAAGCAGCGCAUGAAGAGUCGCACGGGAAUACUGCGGCUUUGUUUUGUUUGGUUUGGAAUUAUUAUCCUUUUGUUUUAUUUUCAUAAUACUUGUACAGAUACCUCAGUGGUCGAUGAAUUAAAGAGCCCGCCUUUGACUGCUUAAUACAAUGAGUUUUUAAAUUUCCAUAUUGCUCCAUAUGGGAGUGUUCAUUCAUCAAGUGUUAAAGAAUUAAAGAUCAAUACUGUAAAAUACUGGCUUCAGUACUGUAAAAUAACCAAUGGAUUGCAUAAGUCCCAUGCAGAAUAAGAGAAGACACAGUGGAGAGCUGGAGCAGGGGCACAACCAGUCGAAAAGGCUGUGUAAUGGUCUGGGAGGUUGUGGCCGGGUUGAAUACGGUGCGGUGAUGGAAACCCAGAUGGACACGUGGGAUGCCCAAAAUCACAGCCCUCAAAAUGGACACAGCGCCAGCGUCCCCGGCAUGCAGGUGUUACCCACCCCAGGACGCGGAGCAGGACAGUAUUGCCCCAGGUGUAUGGCAGGUGAACCUGUAAGUAAGAUUUGGUAUUCUUCUUUGUGGGUUCCCAAUAAUAUUCCCCUCUUCUUUCAUGUCAAAAGUGUGUGUGUGGAUAACAUGUCACUUUUUAUAAUAUGACACAUUCAUCAAAUUAAUCUACCCUCAGCACUUUCACCGGACGGCGUUGAUACAAGCAAUAUGAUUGCCUUUGGAAAUGUUGUACUUCCUACAAAUCAAUAUUUAUUCAUGACGAGAAAGAAAUGCACAUUUUGAACGGUUUUCCCGCAGGCCAGAGUACCUACCAGCUGAUCUAACCACUACGACACGGGAACAGUCAGCAUAUAUGAAUAUCAAUUUGCGUAGGGUUAAUGAACAUUAUACAUACAAUGCAUGGAGUGUUGAGUGAAGUUGACCUGUGUCACAUCAAUGUUUUUCUCUCUCUCUGUCUCUGACAGGGCCAUAUAAACCACAUCAAGAGAUAUUGAUCAGCAUUGCCGAUGACUCCUGGAGAAAAUGAAUCGACUGAAUAAACGGCCGAUGCAGAGAAGCAAUCUGCAGUUUAUCCGUACCGUGUGGGUUUUUUCCCGCAUGCUUUGUGCCUUCCAUGCAUUUUCCAACUGGCCUCACCUAACUACAGUAGUACCUAUUAUUGUUUCGUAGCAGUGAGGUUUACUUUACCAAGAACACUCCGGUGGUAAAAAAAAAGAAAAGGCCAUGAAUGAUGGUUUAGAUCACACUUUUAGUGAAGUGUUUUGAGAUUUUUGCACUGUCCAUUUUUCAGUGUUGCAUGGUCUUGAUUUUCAAGAAGGAAUUACUGCUGUAAAUGCAAUGUUAGCAAACUCUGUGAAACUAUAUGCACAAAUAAUCUCUUUUAUACUAUAUUUCUAAAAAAUGUAAUUAUUAAAUCACUUUCAGGAUUAAAUGUCAUUUCACAUGUAGAUUUUAUUUUUAAGAAUGUUUGUGGUUUCACAUUUCAGUUGCAUUCAGUUUGGUAGUUAAAUGUCCAGAAAUCUAUGUCAGGUUCAUUUUAGUAGAUAUAUUGUCACUGUGUUGUUCUUAUCCCAAAUAGAUUUGUCUUUUGUUUUGUUUUCCUUUGUAGAAGACAUUUCAGUGUAUUCACUGAUUUUAACCUAUUUUGUAUCCUUUAUAAACCAAUCCAGAAUAUUUUGCAUAAAAUCUAAUUUGAUUAAAGCUUUUGUGUG
ensembl:lncRNA